UGGUGGAGCGAUUUGUCUGGUUUAUUCCGAUAACGAACGAGACCUCUGGUGUGUGUUUGGCUUGAGUCGGACAGGGUUUAUGACGCUGGACGGCUGGGCAGUCACGCGCGACGGGCAGCGGCAAGCUGCGGGAAGCGAGGCAAUAACA
rnacentral:rRNA from 1 species